rnacentral:rRNA from 1 species
CCUACGGGUGGCAGCAGUGAGGAAUAUUGGUCAAUGGACGAGAGUCUGAACCAGCCAAGUAGCGUGAAGGAUGACUGCCCUAUGGGUUGUAAACUUCUUUUAUCUGGGAAUAAGAUGUUCCACGUGUGGGAUUUUGUAUGUACCAUAUGAAUAAGGAUCGGCUAACUCCGUGCCAGCAGCCGCGGUAAUACGGAUGAUCCGGGCGUUAUCCGGAUUUAUUGGGUUUAAAGGGAGGGUAGGUGGAGUGUUAAGUCCGUUGUGAAAGUUUGGGGCUCAACCGGAAGAUUGCAGUUGAAACUGGCGGCUGUGAGUGGAGGAGAGGAGGGCGGAAGGCGUGGUGGAGCGGUGAAAUGCUUAG